UACAGAGGGGGCAAGCGUUAUUCGGAAUUAUUGGGCGUAAAGGGCGCGUAGGCGGCCUGGCAAGUGGAAGGUGAAAUCCCUCGGCUUAACCGAGGAACUGCCUCCCAAACUGCUUGGCUUGAGACCGGGAGAGGUGAGUGGAAUUCCCAGUGUAGCGGUGAAAUGCGUAGAUAUUGGGAGGAACACCAGUGGCGAAGGCGGCUCACUGGACCGGUACUGACGCUGAUGCGCGAAAGCGUGGGGAGCAAACAGGG
rnacentral:rRNA from 1 species